GACGAACGCUGGCGGCGUGCUUAACACAUGCAAGUCAAGGGGGCGGAGCAAUCCGCAACCGGCGAACGGGUGCGUAACACGUGAGCAAUCUGCCGAUUCGAGGGGGAUAGCCGGCCCAACGGCCGGGUAAUACCGCAUACGCUCUUUGGGAGGAGUCUCCUGGAGAGGAAACCUUUCGGGCGAAUCGAGGAGCUCGCGGCCUAUCAGCUAGUUGGCGGGGUAAUGGCCCACCAAGGCAGUGACGGGUAGCUGGUCUGAGAGGAUGGCCAGCCACAUUGGGACUGAGAGACGGCCCAGACUCCUACGGGAGGCAGCAGUGGGGAAUCUUGCGCAAUGGCCGAAAGGCUGACGCAGCGACGCCGCGUGGGGGAUGAAGGGUUUCGGCUCGUAAACCCCUGUUGCCCGGGACGAACGAGGUCAUUCGUGACCUGUGACGGUACCGGGUGAGGAAGCACCGGCUAACUCCGUGCCAGCAGCCGCCGCAGUAA
rnacentral:rRNA from 1 species